UUCCGGUUGAUCCUGCCGGACCUGACUGCUAUCGGAUUGAUACUAAGCCAUGCGAGUCUUUGCAGUAAUGCAAGGCAUACGGCUCAGUAACACGUAGUCAACUUACCCUAUGGACGAGGAUAAUCUCGGGAAACUGAGCAUAAUACUCGAUAGAUCAUAAUGCCUGGAAUGGUUUAUGGUUAAAAUGAUUCGUCGCCAUAGGAUGGGACUGCGGCCUAUCAGCUUGUUGGUGAGGUAAUGGCCCACCAAGGCGAUUACAGGUACGGGCUCUGAGAGGAGAAGCCCGGAGAUGGGUACUGAGACAAGGACCCAGGCCCUAUGGGGCGCAGCAGGCGAGAAAACUUUGCAAUGUGCGAAAGCACGACAAGGUUAAUCCGAGUGAUUUCUGCUAAAGAAAUCUUUUGCAAGUCAUAAAACCACUAGUGAAUAAGGGGUGGGCAAGUUCUGGUGUCAGCCGCCGCGGUAAAACCAGCACCUCAAGUGGUCAGGAGGAUUAUUGGGCCUAAAGCAUCCGUAGCCGGCUCUGUAAGUUUUCGGUUAAAUCCAUGUGCUCAACACAUGGGCUGCCGAAAAUACUGCAUAGCUAGGGAGUGGGAGAGGUAGACGGUACUCGGUAGGAAGGGGUAAAAUCCUUUGAUCUAUCGAUGACCACCUGUGGCGAAGGCGGUCUACCAGAACACGUUCGACGGUGAGGGAUGAAAGCUGGGGGAGCAAACCGGAUUAGAUACCCGGGUAGUCCCAGCUGUAAACGAUGCAGACUCGAUGAUGCAUUGGCAUAUAGCCAGUGCAGUGUCGCAGGGAAGCCGUUAAGUCUGCCGCCUGGGAAGUACGUACGCAAGUAUGAAACUUAAAGGAAUUGGCGGGGGAGCACCACAAGGGGUGAAGCCUGCGGUUCAAUUGGAUUCAACGCCGG
rnacentral:rRNA from 1 species